rnacentral:rRNA from 1 species
UACGUAGGGGGCAAGCGUUGUCCGGAUUUACUGGGCGUAAAGAGCGCGUAGGCGGCAGCUUAAGCGGUGCCUGAAAGCCCCCGGCUCAACCGGGGAGGGUGGUGCCGAACUGGGCUGCUUGAGGGCGAUAGAGGAGAGUGGAAUUCCGGGUGUAGCGGUGAAAUGCGUAGAGAUCCGGAGGAACACCGAAGGCGAAGGCAGUGUCCUGGGGAGUGCCUGACGCUCAGGUGCGAAAGCCAGGGGAGCGAACAGG